UACGGGGGGGGCAAGCGUUGUUCGGAAUUACUGGGCGUAAAGGGCUCGUAGGUGGCCAACUAAGUCAACCGUGAAAUCCCUCGGCUUAACCGGGGAACUGCGUUUGAUACUGGAUGGCUUGAGUCCGGAAGAGGUGAGUGGAACUCCUAGUGUAGAGGUGGAAUUCGUAGAUAUUAGGAAGAACACCAGUGGCGAAGGCGGCUCACUGGUCCGGUACUGACGCUGAGGUGCGAAAGCGUGGGGAGCAAACAGG
rnacentral:rRNA from 1 species